rnacentral:lncRNA from 7 species
CGCAGGCCCUCCCGGUUGCCCAUGGCGUGCUCCCUCCGCCGCGCCCCUACUCCCUCUCCUCAUCACCUGUAGCAGACCUCGUGGGGGUACACCUGAAGCUCCUGUGCAUACCAUCCCCUCCCUCUCUGACGCUCGCCCCUCCUGUGUUUGGUACUUGGCCAUCGGGUCCGCUAAGUGCCGCUACCGUCAAAGUUCACCGUCGCCGCCGUUUUGGCUCUCGGUGUGUGGUACGUGAUCCUCACCAUUGCGAGUGGGUUCCUCUCGGCGUGUGGCUAUUGCGGGUCGCCUAGGCACGCCAGGCGUGAGUGCGGUCUCACCUUUGGAGAUCGAAGUCAUUGGAGCUGGGAACUUCCUC